rnacentral:rRNA from 1 species
GACGAACGCUGGCGGCGUGCUUAACACAUGCAAGUCGAACGGAAAGGCCCUGCUUUUGUGGGGUGCUCGAGUGGCGAACGGGUGAGUAACACGUGAGUAACCUGCCCUUGACUUUGGGAUAACUUCAGGAAACUGGGGCUAAUACCGGAUAGGAGCUCCUGCUGCAUGGUGGGGGUUGGAAAGUUUCGGCGGUUGGGGAUGGACUCGCGGCUUAUCAGCUUGUUGGUGGGGUAGUGGCUUACCAAGGCUUUGACGGGUAGCCGGCCUGAGAGGGUGACCGGCCACAUUGGGACUGAGAUACGGCCCAGACUCCUACGGGAGGCAGCAGUGGGGAAUAAUGCACAAUGGGCGGAAGCCUGAUGCAGCAACGCCGCGUGCGGGAUGACGGCCUUCGGGUUGUAAACCGCUUUCGCCUGUGAUGAAGCGUGAGUGACGGUAAUGGGUAAAGAAGCACCGGCUAACUACGUG